rnacentral:rRNA from 1 species
GACGAACGCUGGCGGCGUGCUUAACACAUGCAAGUCGAACGGUAAGGCCCUUCGGGGUACACGAGUGGCGAACGGGUGAGUAACACGUGGGUGAUCUGCCCUGCACUUCGGGAUAAGCCUGGGAAACUGGGUCUAAUACCGGAUAGGACCACUGCCUGCAUGGGGGGUGGUGGAAAGCUUUUGCGGUUUGGGAUGGGCCCGCGGCCUAUCAGCUUGUUGGUGGGGUGAUUGCCUACCAAGGCGACGACGGGUAGCCGGCCUGAGAGGGUGACCGGCCACACUGGGACUGAGAUACGGCCCAGACUCCUACGGGAGGCAGCAGUGGGGAAUAUUGCACAAUGGGCGCAAGCCUGAUGCAGCGACGCCGCGUGAGGGAUGACGGCCUUCGGGUUGUAAACCUCUUUCAGCACCGACGAAGCGCAAGUGACGGUAGGUGCAGAAGAAGGACCGGCCAACUACGUGCCAGCCGCCGCCGUAA